UGGGGAAUUUUGGACAAUGGGCGCAAGCCUGAUCCAGCCAUGCCACGUGCGGGAAGAAGGCCUUCGGGUUGUAAACCGCUUUUGUCAGGGAAGAAAUCUUCUGAGUUAAUACCUCGGGAGGAUGACGGUACCUGAAGAAUAAGCACCGGCUAACUACGUGCUAGCAGCCGCGGUAAUACGUAGGGUGCAAGCGUUAAUCGGAAUUACUGGGCGUAAAGCGUGCGCAGGCGGUUUUGUAAGACAGAGGUGAAAUCCCCGGGCUCAACCUGGGAACUGCCUUUGUGACUGCAAGGCUUGAGUGCGGCAGAGGGGGGAUGGAAUUCCGCGUGUAGCAGUGAAAUGCGUAGAUAUGCGGAGGAACACCGAUGGCGUAGGCAAUCCCCUGGGCCUGCACUGACGCUCAUGCACGAAAGCGUGGGGAGCAAACAGGAUUAGAUACCCUGGUAGUCCACGCCCUAAACGAUGUCAAACUGGUUGUUGGGAAGGUUCCUUCUCAGUAACGUAGCUAACGCGUGAAGUUGACCGCCUGGGGAGUACGGCCGC
rnacentral:rRNA from 1 species